CGAUGUCUGCGCCAGUCAAGAAGAAGAAGAAAUAAAGAAAAUAAAUAUUAUAAACAACAUAAUUCUAGUGAGGAAGAGCAAUACAUACGGAAUUAACUGUUAACUGUGCACGAAAGCUUUUAAUAAUAUUUAUUACCAAUAUUUUGCAAAGAAAAGUUUCUUUUUUAUUGCGCAUUUAUUAAAAGCUCUAAAUGUGCAUGUGACGUAGCAUCUCGACAGGCAAAAGUUUAUAUGUAGCCAUGUAAGACAUGUUAUAGAAUGCAUGUGGAGACCACACAUUGCUCAAUGGCAGCGAUUUAUGUCAGCGAUCUCGACACGCAAAUAUGUACCCUGCAAGUCAGGAACCGGCGAAUUCUUCUGUGAAAGGCCAGGGAGCGGUACUAGUAGUAUCAAAGAAAGUUCCUAUGCUAUUCUUCUUGCACAUUACAUUCAUCAUUUAGCAAUGUAUAUAUACCUCCUGUACAAUUGGGUGAAUGAUCUUAGUACAAUCACGGAUGAAAGACCCAAAACUGAGAACCAAAACUCCACGUGCACUUUCAGUACUGCGACCCUCAAAAGCCCAGAACGUAUACCCCUAUUUUUGGUUAGUUCUACCAAACUCCCAAAUGAGAAUUUAAUUACAAAAUCAUUAAUUAUAUUUCAUAUAUAUUUUUUGAAGUGAACAGUUGAAGUGAACACAAGUGCAAUUUUCGGUGCCGUCGAAAAGUCUAAAUUACAUUGUUAAACUGAAUGCGAAACCGAAUUUUUUGUGCAUAAAAUAAAUACACAGAGUCCUGGCGCGGAUUUAUAAAAACAAUUUGUAGAAAAAAGGAGAAGGGAGAAAAAACAAGAAAAAACGUUAACUGCGGCUGUACCGAAGCUAAUAUACCCUUCACAGGUGCAUUUCUUUUAUUAACUAUGUGUUUAAGCAAAUCUAAAGACGUAAGAAAAAGUAAGUAAAAAAACAAGCCCUUGAUUCCGAUCGUUCAGUAGUAUGGCAGCUAUAUGCUAUAGUGAUAUUUUUUCUUUGAUAUAGUGUUUUUUUAUAUGAUAUAGUGGUCCGACAUCGGCAGUUCCCACAAAUGAGCAGCUUCUUGAAGAGAAAAUAACAUCUGCAAAAUUUCAAAACGAUAUCUUAAAACUGAAGGACUAGUUCGUACAUAUACGGACAGACAGACAGACGGACAUGGCUAAUUCGACUCAGUUCAACAUACUGAUCAUUUAUAUAUAUACUUUAUAGGUGUAUAAUUGAAGCACUGGUAUACUUACGUGCGGAAUUAUAACCAGAAUGUGAAAGGGGCAAACACAAGAUAUUUAUAAAACGUUAUAAAAAUUUAUUCUUAGGUUUACUAAGUUGAACUUGUCCUUGAUGGAGGAUAAUUUGUUUAAUAAGAAUGAAUAAGCCAGACUCUCAUGUGAUACUAAAUCCAUCUUGAACGACCUUAAAGUGUUAAUGUGUUAAAUGCAAUUAACAAACUUAAGUGGAAGACUAAAGAACCGCUAGAUAUGUUUUCAGUAGUAUUCGAUGCUACCGAGAACAUUAAAAAAGUUUAUCAGAACAAAAGCAGUCUUAAUACCGUUAUCAAUGUUGAGCCUAUCAAAGCCUCUAAAUUAAUCCCUCAGUGCAAAAACUGUCAAGCUUUUGGACAUACAAAAAACUUCUGUGGUAAGCCAUCGAGAUAUGUGAAAUUUGGAGCAAACAUCUUACAACUGAAUGCACCAAAGCCGAAAAAGAUCCUGCCAUAUGUUGCAACUGCGGCGAUUCCCAUCCUGCAAGCUACCGUGGUUGUGUUAUUGCAACAGAACUGCAAAAAAGACAAAAAGAAUGGCAAUACAGAUGAGGAGAAUGUCAAUGCUCAGGCGAAAAAGCCCGUUGCAGACAAAGGAAGUAAGACCCCUCCCAUCAACUUCUAAACUUACAUUUGCGCAAAUGUCUAAGCAAGGCCAGACAAAUAAAGUUCAAAAAAGUAGCCCGUUAUCCUAAAUUCUGGAUAAACUAAACGAACAAGAAAAAUUAUUUAAGUGCAUAAAUGAGCGGCUCAGCGCUCUUGAAUACCGUAUACAAUUUAUUGAUGAACAGUAACUCUUUGAAAAUAAUGCUAUGUAACGCCAAUGGUCUUUCCAAAAGUAAAAAUGAAUUGGAAGUUAUUUUAAACGACAGAAAUAUUGAUGUAUGUUUGUUGUCCGAAACACAUUUUUUGAACCAUUCCCUACAAGACGGAGCUAACUCAUUCACCACUACACAUGCAAAGUUUUUCAGCUUUUACCAACACAUACGCAAUAGUAACUUUUUGUAGUUAAAUGGCAAUCUCGGUAGUUAGAAAAAAUAAUUUUUGUAUGUAUAAGAGAGAUGCACGUACUACAAUGAACCGAUCAAAAUCUCCGACAUGGCCGCCAUUCAUAUGAAAAAAAAUUUGAAGUGAGUGGAUGUAAAGCGGUACUCGGAAGGCAAAGCGAGCUGCAACGCACAUCUGGUGCGUAUUUGCAAACUUCGGAGGAAAAACUAAAGCUUAAGCUGAAUACCACCGAUAUACUCCCAUAAAGGUAGCUAUACUUGGUAUCAGUGCGGGGAAUCCUACCAGCAGUUCUUCAAGAUAUACAACGGCAAUCGCUCAUCAAUCGUACAUUACAAUUCGUCAUAUAAUGGAAAAAGCACUCGUAGUCCUUUGUGUGAGGAAGUAACAAAUAUCAUAUACCUAGAAAUACAACACAAAAUAUGCUACAACAACAGAGUUGUUAUUAAUACUUCCCAUGCUUAUAAUAUUGGUGGAUAAUCGCCAAAUGGUGUAACAAGUGUAGGAGCAACAACAAAUAAUACAUAUUCAAAUUCACAACGAAAGCCAAAAUCGCACAGCCCAACAGGCAAAUAACAAGGCAUCGGAUCAUGUACUACAAAUUACAUCGGACUUUUGGAGUAGCACUUUCAACACUUAUUUUCGACGUGCUAAACACAGUGUCUCCUAUGAUGCCCUUGGAUCUACACAAUGGAUAAUUAACAGAGCUCUAAAAACAACAUUGAGACGCCGAAGUUUCUCAUCUUGCUUCUGAUUUGAUUAUGAAGGCAUUAUUAGGCUUAACUUACAAUUUAUCAUUUUCAAUAUUGUGAUUGUUAACUUAUAAAUUUUGAACGUACGCAAUAGCUCUAAUUUUAUUAAUAUAAAUGUAAAAUAUUGUUAAAUUAUUAUCUUAUAUACAAAUGACUGUACGAAUAUAUGUAACAAUAGUAAUAGUAGUGAAAUUUAAUUUGUA